rnacentral:lncRNA from 1 species
NNNNNNNGCCCCACGGCACCCGUCCCAUCCCGCGCCGCUGCCCCACUGCCCGCCCCGCUCCGGCCGCGCUGUGCCCCACUGCUAUCGGGUGCCGGGCUGCGGGAUUCCCGGGGGGAACUCCUGGGGAUCCCCCCCCCUCCUGCCCCCCCCCAUGGCCGGGAUUUGGGGUUCUCUCGUUUGGAUUUUUAUUUAUUUAUUUAUUUAAGGGUCCAAAAAAAAAAAAAAAUGGGGGUUCCCCAGACGGGGCCGUGUGGGCAGCAAUGGGACGUGGCCGUCCUUCUGUCCUCCUGCCCCUAUAUGUCCUUCUGUCCCUCUGUCCCCCUCUCCCUCUGUCCCUCUGUCCGCCUGUCCCCCUCUCCCUCUAUUCCUCUAUCCCUCUGUCCCCCUGUCCCUGUGUCCUUCUAUCCCUCUGUCCCUCUGUCCACCUGUCCUCCUGUCCCUCUGUCCCCCUGUCCCUCUGUCCCCCUCUCCCUCUAUCCCCCUGUCCCUCUAUCCCCCUCUCCCUCUGUCCCUCUGUCCCUGAGGGCUGUGCACAGUGACAGGUGUGCGAGUGCACCUGGGUGCAAAUGCGCGCUCACCCGCGCGUGCAUGCAGGCCUCCGCACGUUGCCACACGUGCAGCUCCCAGCCGUGCAGGCGCACACAAGUGCACGCUCACAGAUUCCUAAGCACAAACGUGCAAGCUCCUUUCUGCACACGCACGCACACGUGUGCACGCUCACACACAUGCGUGCACCUGCGUGCUUUAAGCUCGGGGUGCAGGGCGCUCCUGCAGGUGGCAUUGGUGCAAGGAAGGGGGAGCAGCGUGCAUUGCACGCACGCACACACGUGUGCACACACACACAUACACACACACACACACACGUGCUCUGCUGGGACGUCCCUCAGCACCGUGGGGACGCGGUGGCUCAGCGCUGGGGGCCGGGCUGGAUGCACUGAUAACGGCCCCGCUGUUAUCAGGGCGCUGCCGUGUGUUCCUCUCCCUGCAGGUUUUGGGGUCCCCCCCCCCAGCACCCCACUGCUUGGGGUGGGCUGACUGAUCUGGGUGCUAUGGGGGGGGGCAGCACCCCACUGCUUGCUCUGUGGUACCCAGGGUGUGGGGCACAGUGGGCAGAGGGGUGUACCCCCCCCCCCAUCCAGAGCCCAAUUUUAGGGUUAUGGUGUUCA